GACGAACGCUGGCGGUGUGCUUAACACAUGCCAGUCGAACGGAAGGGCCCUGUUUGCGUGGUGUGCCCGAGUGGCGAACGGGUGAGUGACCCGAAAGUAACCUGCCCUUGCCUUUGGGAUAACGUCAGGAAACCGGGGCUAAUACCGGUACGGAGUACCCGCUGUAUGGUGGGGGCAGGAAAGUUGCGGCGGAUGGGGAUGGACUCGCGGCUUACCACCCUGUUGGUGGGGGAGUGGCUAACCAAGGCCUUGGCGGGCGGCCGGCCUGAGAGGGUGACCGGCAACAUUGGGACUGAGAUACGGCCCGGACUCCUGCGGGAGGCAGCAGUGGGGAAUAGUGCACAAUGGGCGGAAGCCUGAUGCAGCAACACCGCGUGAGGGAUGACAGCCUUCGGGUUUUAGACCGCUUUCGCCUGUGACGGAGCGUGAGUGACGGUAAUGUGUAAAUAAGCACCGGCUAACUACGUG
rnacentral:rRNA from 1 species